rnacentral:lncRNA from 1 species
CAUAGUUGUUUUUCUUGCAGUCUAGAGAGAAACAGCAAAAAAUAAAACUGCUCAUAAAAUAGCUUUUUAUAUAGGUGUGUCAAAUAUGUCUAGACUUCAAGUAUUGGGUUGCGGAGAUUGGUACUGGGUAGCACCGCUGCAUGUGGGGGAUAGAAACCUAGGUUUUAUUGUUUUUGCCGCGGCUCCUAUGACAUCACCGCAGAGCAGGAGUUACUGCACCUCGAAAGCGCUCGGAAUCUCGCGACACUCUGGCUGGAGAGAAGCGCGUUUUUGUGGGCGGGGUGGGGAGAGAGUAACUUCCGGCCAGGCCGCUGUUUGGGUGGCGCGGCCGACUCCUCUCGGGCCUCGCCGCUUCGCGCUUCCACUGCCUUCCCCCCCGCCUCGUGCGGGGGGUUGGGCGGCCGCGGGAGGCCACUCAGACCUUCCCGGCGCCUGUGGUCGGCCCGGCGCUGUGGCUCUGCGCGCGGGGGCCCGGGGUCUCAGGGGCUGCGGCCUACCCGGGCCCGCCGCUCAGCCUCAUGAGGCACAGCCUGACCAAGCUGCUGGCAGCCUCGGGCCGCGACUUCCCGAGCCGCCGCGACAGCCAGGAGCCGCCCGCCACGCGCGCGCCUCCCCCGGACCCGACUGGGGCAGCCGCGGGGACGGAGACGUCAAGGCCCGGAUCCCCUGACCGCGAGCAACCUCACGGGGACGGGGGCGAGCCGGAGGCCCGGAGGGGGAGUCGCGGCAGCGUGGCCGUGCGCGCGCCCGCGCCCUCGCCACUGAAGAUGGAGGAGGAGGAGGAGGACGCGAUCGCUAUGGUCCCCAAAGAAGAGCAGGAGGACAUGGACUUUCUCUCCGGGCUGGAGCUGGCCGAUCUGCUGGACCCUCGGCAACCGGACUGGCACCUGGAGCCCGGGCUCAGCUCGCCCGGGCCCCUGUCCUCGUCCGGCGGAGGCUCGGAUAGUGGUGGCCUAUUGAGGGGGGACGACGACGACGAGACCGCGGCCGCAGAGAUGCAGCGCUUUUCUGACUUGCUGCAGAGGCUGUUAAAUGGCAUCGGAGGCUGCAGCAGCGGCAGCGACCGCGGCGGCGGGGAAAAGAGGCGGAGAAAGUCUCCGGGAGGAGGCGGUGGCACCAACGACAACAACCAAGCGACGACUAAGAGUCCUCGGAAGGCGGCGGCGGCCGCUGCCCGACUUAAUCGGCUCAAGAAGAAGGAGUAUGUGAUGGGGCUGGAGAGUCGAGUCCGGGGACUGGCAGCCGAGAACCAGGAGCUGCGGGCCGAGAAUCGGGAGCUGGGCAAACGGGUGCAAGCACUGCAGGAGGAGAGUCGCUACCUACGGGCUGUCCUAGCCAACGAGACCGGACUGGCUCGCCUGCUGAGCCGGCUGAGCGGCGUGGGACUGCGGCUGACCACUUCACUCUUCAGAGACUCGCCCGCCGGUGACCAUGACUACGCCCUGCCGGUUGGGAAGCAGCCUCAGGAGCUGCUGGAAGAGGACGACGCGGCGGGAGGAGUGUGUCUCCAUGUGGACAAGGAUAAGGUGUCGGUGGAGUUCUGCUCGGCGUGCGCUCGGAAGGCGUCGUCUUCUCUUAAAAUUUUCUUUUUUAGGUGAUUUCCUUCCUGCCAGGCUCCGUUGUAGGGGUUACAGAACAGUCGUUCCCGCCUCACAACCUGUGGAUACAGCUGUUGGGGCAGAAGAGACGGGACCAGCUGCUGGCCACAUUUCCUGCUUUAUUUUAAAAGCUUAGCAGUAUCUGCAAAAACGAAUCUUUUCCUACAACCUGUUAACUGACUGGACUGAUGGUAACAGUAAUUGUGGGAGCCAUGUCGGUCAAAAAUUUGGCAUCUGCUGAAAAACAUGAAUGCCAUUUCCAAGGUCCCAAAUUACUUCUAUACUGAUUACACUUUCCAGAAAUGGAGAUAUGAAAAGAUUCUCUGGAAUGCUUGAAAGACUUAAUAGAGAUCCAUGAGACUAAGUUAAUUUUGGAACAAAAUUACACCUUUUUUUCCCCCAUUCAUGGCAAUAACACUAAAUUUAUCACAUACUUUUAAAAAAUUGUAAUUGGAGAAGAGAAUUAUAGUUUCAUCAAGAAACAUUAGAUUUUACACAAUCAAGGACAUUAGAUUUAGUGGGUUAGAAUGACAUAAAUAGGCUAGCAGUGAUCACAAACCUCUCGAGUGUAUUUCUGGAAUGUAAAGAGCUGCUGUGGAAGACAGACACCUUGUUGAGUAGAAUGAAGUCUGUAUCUAAAAGAUUAGUGUUUUAAAAUAGAUGCAUUGAUUGUAUGUUUUGAAAAAGUGAUUCUGAUAGACAAUGUGUGGGUGCUAACUUAGGGUAUCAAGAGCAUGUGUGCAAUCCCAGGGUUUGGCAUCUUGGAUCUUCUGAGUACUUGAUCUCAUUGAAUGUGUUCAAGUUUCUGAUGAAUGAUAGAGUUUCUAUUGGUCUGUGUUAAAAUUUCUGGAGUAUUCUGUAAGAAUCUUUAUAUUCUGGAUGAGAAAGGCUAAUUUCCUACUAUAAGUAAAAAAGCACUCAGAAACCAGUCAUUUUUCAUUAUUGUUGGAAUCUGCUAAUGCAUUUGUCAUCCGGUCUAGACUUAGUUAUUUAUUUAUUUUUUGGUUCAUUUGGGAAAUAUGCAGAUAGAAGAGGAAGAUGAUAUGAAAUAGUUGGUUUACACUGUAACUUGGAUACUCAAAAUUCAUUCAGGUUGCUUUUAGAACUGCAACGUAAAAAUGUGCUGGGAUAGUUUUAGCAUAGUAAACAGUUUGCACUUAUCAAGCAGCUUGGUUAUAUCAUUGGAUUCUGAAUUACUAAGUUGAUUAUAUACCAUCUGUAUUACCUAAGAAAUUAAUGUAGUAAUUAUAUUAUUUUUACUUUGAUCAAUUGAAUUACUCAUUAGUUAAAAGUGAGAAUGUAGGUGGGCAGCUUUGUAUCAGAAAACCUUUGCUUUUGCUAUUAUUCCUUGUAAAAUAGGCAAUCAUAUACAAAGCACAUUUUUACAUUGCAGUUCUAAAAGUAAAACAUUAAAUCAUGGGGACUCUAGAAAGAAAGCAAAAGAAAUCACAUAACUAACCUAGGGCAAGAUACUGUAAACACCUUCCCUUUCUCUUGGAAACUUCCUUCCCUCAUAAUUAUACUCUUAAAAAAACUGAAUAGAGAAUACAUUUUGUGUGUUUUUUGAAAGAACAAGUCACAGCAUUCUGAAAACUGCUACAUUUGACUAAUAUUUUAGUAAUGACCUUGUUUUGUUGAUGGAGACAAGGGUCUUGCAUUGGAUGAGAAAUCACUAGCUAGCCUCAAACCUGAGGCCCUGCCUUUUCUUCCCACUUGCUAGGCACGCCAUGGUAUUUUUUUUCUUUCAAUAAAAGCCUAUUUAACACAUCCAAAA